ACGGCUAUCAUUCAAUGGUAGGAUGUCUGUCUUCCAAAUAGAGUAUGUCGGUUCGAAUCCGACUAGCCGUA
rnacentral:tRNA from 1 species